rnacentral:lncRNA from 1 species
GCAUGCUCCAAACUUCAGAGCAGGCAAAGAGGAAGAUUGGCCCUGAGCAAACAUCUGUAGCCUAUCUUUCUCUCUUCUUUUUUUCCUCCCCAAAGCUCCAGUACCUAGUUGUAUAGCCUAGUUGUAGAUCAUUCUAGCUCUUUUAUGUGGGAUGUGGCCACAGCAUGGCCUGAUCAGCAGUGUGUAGGUCCAUGCCCCGGAUCUGAACCAGUGAACCCUGGGCUGCCAAAGUAGGGCACAUGAACAUAACCACUGGGCCAUGGAGCCAGCCCCAAUUGAUGGGUUUUAAACAGUGGAGUGACAGGAUCUGAUUUGUUCAUUUGCUCUGUGGCUGCAGAGUUGAGAGCAGGCAGAUAGUUGCUGAGCUAAUAUCUGUGCCAAUGUUGCCCUAAUUUGUAUGUGGGACGCUGCCACAGCAUGGCUUGAUGAGUGGUGUGUAGGUCUGCGCCUGGGAUCUGAACCUGUGAACCCCGGACCGCCGAAGCAGAGCAUGUGAACUUAACCACUAUGCCACCUGGCUGGCCUGCCUUGAAUAACGUUUUUAAUGUAUAAAAUAACAUAUAUAGGAUUUCAAAGAUUACUGAUUAUAUGCCUUACGGUUAUCAAAACAUUUAAAGAAAUUUAUGACAUAGUAAAGAACAUGAUUCUUUAGUCUCACAAUAAUUAACAAGAUUCUGGCAAUGAUUGUAAGAUUUUCUAUAAUUUCAAAAUCAUGACAAAGUAAACAAUAUUUG